UGUUUAUGCGUAGUGGCAGCAGUAGC
rnacentral:piRNA from 1 species